ACUUGAAAACAGCUUCACUGCGAUCGGUAACACAAUGACAACACCGGUGUUCUGACUAGUUUGUUUUGGUCUGUGGACACCAAAAAUGGCGCCGAGCGACGUAAACGUUCUGGAGCUGCAACCAGAAUUUCUACUGAUCUGACGGAGGACGUUCCAGAACGAAAACCUGGAGAACGGGUGUAGAACCGGACCAGACUGCUCUGAUCCAACGGGUCAAACAUGAAGCUAUCAGGUCCAUCAGAACCUUCUGGGUGGUUCUCAAUCGCUCUAGACCCCAUCCAGAUAAUCCGGGUUUAAACCGGAUAUGAGGCAGUUCCGGUCUGCUUCCCUCUGAUUGGCUCCUUCUCUUGGAACCAGAAUCAAACCCGGAACCGCAGAGCCCUGUGACCUGAUCCAGGACUUCUCGAACCCCCAGCAGAACCAGUACCGUUGAAGACGGACCGCAUGUCCAGGUGAGGUUCGGGUCUCACCUGGCUCCUUUGUGUCUCCGCUCCGGAAGUUCCUCUGUGAUCACGUGAGCUCGGUGCAGCCGCCGGAAGCGGACUCCAGCAGACUCGUUCAUGUUCGGCUCGGCUCGGUUCGGUUUCAGUUAGAGCAGAUCUGGACUAACGGUUCAGCGGGAUGUUGAGCUGGGCUCCUUCUUCUGCUGCUGCGGUAAAAGCGGAGGGUCGGAUUUACCGCCCCCAGCGGCAAAGGAGGGAACUACAGCUGAAAACACGAAUCUUCUCGCGAGGUUUCGGGGCUUUUCUCACUGUAGCAGUCCGUUUUCAGGCCAGCUGACUGUUCAAUGAUUUAUUAAAGCCAACCGUAUCAUUAGUCAACAGCUAGAUCAGAACCAACAACAAUUAGUGACCCGUUUUCAGGCUCCGUUGAGCCGUUACAUUAUCACAGUUAUUCAUAAACAAUCACAGAUUGACCCAGAAACAAACUAAACUCAGCUGCUUCUUGUCCCUUUAUACUGCCGUUAACCUUCCAUGGUAGAGCGGCGGUUCAGUUACCAUAGCUACGGUCACACGAAACCUGCCAAAAUAAAAGCAUAUCACCUCCACGGUUGUUGAAAUAAGUAACCUUACUCUAUAAAUUAUAUUUAAUCCACGGUAAAAACAUGAAUCAGAUGGAGGCUCAUUUCUCAGACAGCUGUUAUUGAUCGGAGAUGCUCCAAUAAAAUUCAAAGAUCAGUUUAACAAAGGAAGCUCUUCCCUCCAGCAGGUUUGUCAUCUGUUAGUCUGUUGGCUCCUCUUCACUGGAGCAACUGGAGAAAAAGAACUAAAGUGAAUCAGAUUCUCUUCAUUUACCCUGAGAAAACAUUUCAUUUUGACUAUUCAUCUUGAAACUAUUCCUAAUUUAUUUUUAAUGUGAAUACAGUCAGAUAUUCUGCAAAGAACCAGGAAAAGAAUCUCCUUUGAUGAAAGAUAAUUUUUAAUCAAGUUUUGGACAAAGAGACAUUUAAUAAAACUGCUGCUGCUCCUCAGUUAUGAAGCCAAAUGGAAACUACAAGCUGAAACAUUGGAUACUAAAAUAUCAAAAAUCCCCAAUAAGGAAGAAAGAUAUUUACACAAAAAUAUUCUGGACAAGUUCAGGAUUCAUGACCAUUCUACUAGACAAACUCUACGUCUUCCCCGUCACCUCUGACCCUUUGUGCUGCUGAUGAAGAUGAUGAAGAUGAUGAUGGGUCAUCAGGCGCUUUCUGUUUCAAUAAAACAGCAGCAGUGGCUUUUAUUACUUUUCCA